rnacentral:lncRNA from 1 species
AAAUAACAUCCACAAGAAUGGAUAAAUUUGAUGAUUUAGUCCAGGACCACCUGAUUUAGAAAUGAGGUGACAAAGAAUGCCAGAUAGGAAUAAUCAACAGACAAACCACCAGAUAAAGAAAGAUAACAUGACAUGAAAUAUCACAUGCCACUGCCGUCUAACUCUUUGACAAGCACUUAGAAAAAAAUGCCGUAUUUGUGGAAUAACAACAAAAUUCUCAUAAUCCAAUUAAAUGAACUUGUCUGCUAUUUUCAUCAACUCAAUAAGAAAGUACAAUUAUAUGAUUCAUUCUUUUCUAGCCCAUAUGUUGUUAUUCUGCACAUAAAAGGGAAGUGCAUUAACUUCUUUUCUUCAAUUGCAGAACUAGAUAACCAGCCAUAUCCACAAUUCAUUAGGUCCCAUAUUCAACAGCAGCACAUGAUUCUGCCUUGCCUACCUAACUCAGUUUGACAACUUUAGCUACAAUUAAAAUUCAUUCUCUAGCCUCAACUAUAAAUGAACUGCUUCCAUGAGCCAUUUUGAUCAUCAAGCAGAUAGCAAUUACUCAGACCUUUUAAAAAGUAACCAAAGAAAUCAAUAUGGUCAGUGUUAAGAAACUGAUAAAAAUGGCAAGGAGAUGGCAGAAGUUUGCAGCUAAGCAAAGGAAGAGGAUUUCUUUACCAAGAUCAAGUUACAAUGAUGCAGAAAGUUGUAGCGCAUCAUCUUCUAAAGUUGGCAAAGGGCAUUUUGUGGUCUAUACAACUGAUCAGAAGCGAUUUGUGGUUCCUUUGGCUUACCUUCAACACG